UACGGGGGGGGCAAGCGUUGUUCGGAAUUACUGGGCGUAAAGGGCUCGUAGGCGGCCAACUAAGUCGGACGUGAAAUCCCCAGGCUCAACCUGGGAACUGCGUCCGAUACUGGAUGGCUUGAAUUCGGGAGAGGGAUGCAGAAUUCCAGGUGUAGCGGUGAAAUGCGUAGAUAUCUGGAGGAAUACCGGUGGCGAAGGCGGCAUCCUGGACCAACAUUGACGCUGAUGAGCGAAAGCUAGGGGAGCAAACGGG
rnacentral:rRNA from 1 species